rnacentral:rRNA from 1 species
GAUGAACGCUGGCGGCGUGCCUAAUACAUGCAAGUCGAGCGAACGGACGAGAAGCUUGCUUCUCUGAUGUUAGCGGCGGACGGGUGAGUAACACGUGGAUAACCUACCUAUAAGACUGGGAUAACUUCGGGAAACCGGAGCUAAUACCGGAUGAUAUUUUGAACCGCAUGGUUCAAAAGUGAAAGACGGUCUUGCUGUCACUUAUAGAUGGAUCCGCGCUGCAUUAGCUAGUUGGUAAGGUAACGGCUUACCAAGGCAACGAUGCAUAGCCGACCUGAGAGGGUGAUCGGCCGCACUGGAACUGAGACACGGUCCAGACUCCUACGGGGGGCAGCAGUAGGGAAUCUUCCGCAAUGGGCGAAAGCCUGACGGAGCAACGCCGCGUGAGUGAUGAAGGUCUUCGGAUCGUAAAACUCUGUUAUUAGGGAAGAACAUAUGUGUAAGUAACUGUGCACAUCUUGACGGUACCUAAUCAGAAAGCCACGGCUAACUACGUG